GCUCGAGAAUAUGUUCUACAUUUGCGGGCAACUUGCUAUACAGUCAACGAGUAGAUUUAGCGGCAACAACUGUUAAAUAUAGAUGUUCCCACAUUCGGUAAGGAGGAAAGAAGUGAAAUAUUUACAAGAUAAAUUGUAAAGUCAGCAUUCGUUACCAGCUGAAGUUGUAAAACGAUCGCACUCACUUUUGGUAUGGAAUUAGCUUUCCCUCUAGCUUCAGCAAUACAGGAUUCCUUACACUGGAAUGGCUAAACAUUUGGAUGACCUCCGGAUCAAAUGCAAUUACUGCAUAAAUAGUUUUCGCCGAUGGUUUGCUAUAAUGAGUCUAGAGCUGGCUGAACAGAAAACAGAAUUCUUUAGCAUAAACUCCAAGAAAUUUUAAGAAAAUGAUGUGGCUAACCAUAGGAGAAUUUGAGAUUACUUCACAGCCACAAUUAAUGAAUCUUAGUGUAAUAGUGAACUCCAGCCAAUGUUUUUUAAUAGCUAAUGUAAUGAGAUCAGUUAUACUGUAUGCGGCUCCAAUAUGGAUACAGGCACUAGACUUAAAAUCAUAUGCUAGACCAAUUGACGCAUUGCAUACGCUUUCUACAAUACGCGUGCUUUCCGAACCAUAUCAAACGACGCUGCUGAGGUAUUAGAAAGUAUGGAUCCGAUUGACAUCCAGGGAGACGCAUUCGAGCGAAUAUACAACUUAUCAGAGACGUCUAUCGAAGAUAAGAGAGAAUAAAAAGCAUCACAUUGUGGUAACAACGGUAGUAAAUUUCAUGCAAAGGAUGAUGGACCCACAGACUGAUUCAGGAAGUACAUUCGUGAAUAGAUAGACAGCAUGGGGACCUAGAUUUCCACCUAACCCAAAACUCUGUGCUUUAGAAGCUACACAUAAAUAUCGUCAUGUCUUUAGUCCACAUGUUCCGUACUGUACUCAACCAUUUCCCUCGGUUUUCAAAUAUAAGGAAAAAGCAGAAAAUCAACAGAUUAGGCGUCAGUCAGUCUGUACAAUAGAAGAGAUUAAAUAUAUUCUUCUCUCCAAUGAAGUAA